rnacentral:rRNA from 1 species
GACGAACGCUGGCGGCGUGCUUAACACAUGCAAGUCGUACGGUAAGGCCCUUUCGGGGGUACACGAGUGGCGAACGGGUGAGUAACACGUGAGUAACCUGCCCACAACUUUGGGAUAACGCUAGGAAACUGGUGCUAAUACUGGAUAUGUGCUCCUGCUGCAUGGUGGGGGUUGGAAAGCUCCGGCGGUUGUGGAUGGACUCGCGGCCUAUCAGCUUGUUGGUGGGGUAGUGGCCUACCAAGGCGGCGACGGGUAGCCGGCCUGAGAGGGUGACCGGCCACAUUGGGACUGAGGUACGGCCCAGACGCCUACGGGAGGCAGCAGUGGGGAAUAUUGCACAAGGGGCGCAAGCCUGAUGCAGCAACGCCGCGUGCGGGAGGACGGCCUUCGGGUUGAAAACCGCUUUCAGCAGGGACGAAGCUUUUUGUGACGGUACCUGCAGAAGAAGCACCGGCUAACUACGUG